rnacentral:tRNA from 2 species
GGCUCCGUGGCUUAGCGAGUCAAGGCGCCUGUCUUGUAAACAGGAGAUCCUGGGUUCGACCCUGGGUUCGACUCCCAGCGGGGCCU